GAUGAACGCUGGCGGCGUGCCUAAUACAUGCAAGUCGAGCGAACAGACGAGGAGCUUGCUCCUCUGACGUUAGCGGCGGACGGGUGAGUAACACGUGGAUAACCUACCUAUAAGACUGGGAUAACUUCGGGAAACCGGAGCUAAUACCGGAUAAUAUAUUGAACCGCAUGGUUCAAUAGUGAAAGACGGUUUUGCUGUCACUUAUAGAUGGAUCCGCGCCGCAUUAGCUAGUUGGUAAGGUAACGGCUUACCAAGGCAACGAUGCGUAGCCGACCUGAGAGGGUGAUCGGCCACACUGGAACUGAGACACGGUCCAGACUCCUACGGGAGGCCGCAGUAGGGAAUCUUCCGCAAUGGGCGAAAGCGUGACGGAGCAACGCCGCGUGAGUGAUGAAGGUCUUCGGAUCGUAAAACUCUGUUAUUAGGGAAGAACAAAUGUGUAAGUAACUAUGCACGUCUUGACGGUACCUAAUCAGAAAGCCACGGCUAACUACGUG
rnacentral:rRNA from 1 species